GACGAACGCUGGCGGCGUGCUUAACACAUGCAAGUCGAACGGAAAGGCCCUGCUUUUGUGGGGUGCUCGAGUGGCGAACGGGUGAGUAACACGUGAGUAACCUGCCCUUGACUUUGGGAUAACUUCAGGAAACUGGGGCUAAUACCGGAUAGGAGCUCCUGCUGCAUGGUGGGGGUUGGAAAGUUUCGGCGGUUGGAGAUGGACUCGCGGCUUAUCAGCUUGUUGGUGGGGUAGUGGCUUACCAAGGCUUUGACGGGUAGCCGGCCUGAGAGGGUGACCGGCCACAUUGGGACUGAGAUACGGCCCAGACUCCUACGGGAGGCAGCAGUGGGGAAUAUUACACAAUGGGCGGAAGCCUGAUGCAGCAACGCCGCGUGCGGGAUGACGGCCUUCGGGUUGUAAACCGCUUUCGCCUGUGACGAAGCGUGAGUGACGGUAAUGGGUAAAGAAGCACCGGCUAACUACGUG
rnacentral:rRNA from 1 species